GGAGGACCUGCGAAGUUAAGGCGUGGGCACGCAUUAACGGCACAGAUCUUAGCUUGGAACGCAAGUCGUAACUUGAAAGGUGCUCAUAUCUCUAUACUUUUUUGAUAGAAUGUGUGAUUGGUAUUAUUAUUAAUGAAGACAAACAUGUUACUGUGAUUGAGCAAGUUACCCAAGCCUUUAGGCUUACCCAAUUACACCCAGAAAAGACUAAUCUGUAGCUCAAUCACAGGAAACAAACCAAGGACCCAAGAUAAAAUAAAUCCAGCCUUAUAAAGCAGGUAGAAUGUCCGAAAGGUGCUACAGGGAAUUACACAGAAUCAAAAACUGAAGCUCAGUUGCUACUGAUAGAAUAUUGCAGCGCCUUUAGAUGAGUGAGCUGGCGAGGCAAAAUUUUUACUCAUAUGAUUAAAGGAUGCCUGAAAGAAAAUCACCUCGAAUGUCAGAGCAAGCUCAACGCUAGAAUUGAGCAACAAAAUCAGUUUGACGAUUUACAUCAGACUUUUCCAGAGCGUCAGCAGAUGCAUUAGCUUUCUCUGAAAAUGUGCGAGAUAGAGAAAUAAGGGCAAAGCUCAAUGAGGGCUUUGAUUUUGCAGAGUAGAUCCCAGAAUAUCCAUGGACUCUCAAGGAAGUUGCCAUUAACCCAUCCCACGACAUUUCUUGAGUCUGAUUCGAUGACUAGAGUCCUAUUUCGCAAAAUUUCGAAAGAGUUAGAUAGUUCAAGAGCUUUCAGCACUGCUCGAAGUUCGACCUCGUUAGAUUCCAUUAUUCAAACCGGACGCGCAAAUAUACCCACAAAUUGACCACCAGGAUUCCUUAGAAUACCACCAAUGCCAUCUGCUCCUGGCUUGCCGAUAGCAGAAGCAUCCACAUCCAGUUAGGCAAUUGUGAGACGGGGGGGCCCAUAUGCUGGUUGGUCUUGAAGGGUUUUUGUUUUUCCCAGUUCUUGAUGCAUUCAGAGGAUAGGAGGAUACGAUUUGCAGCAAAGGGGAAGGAAGGAUCAAGAGUAGUGAUCCAGAAGGUUAGUCUAACUAGGAUAAGAUCAAAAAGCAGAUUACUCAAUAUCAAGGAGUCUGCUAGAAUAUCUUUGGAAAUUAAUACAAACAGAU
rnacentral:lncRNA from 1 species